AAGUCCCGUAACGAGCGCAACCCUUGUCCUUAGUUACCAGCACCUCGGGUGGGCACUCUAAGGAGACUGCCGGUGACAAACCGGAGGAAGGUGGGGAUGACGUCAAGUCAUCAUGGCCCUUACGGCCAGGGCUACACACGUGCUACAAUGGUCGGUACAAAGGGUUGCCAAGCCGCGAGGUGGAGCUAAUCCCAUAAAACCGAUCGUAGUCCGGAUCGCAGUCUGCAACUCGACUGCGUGAAGUCGGAAUCGCUAGUAAUCGCAGGUCAGCAUACUGCGGUGAAUACGCUCCCGGGCCUU
rnacentral:rRNA from 1 species